rnacentral:rRNA from 1 species
AGCAGCCGCGGUAAUUCCAGCUCCAAUAGCGUAUAUUAAAGUUGUUGCAGUUAAAAAGCUCGUAGUUGAAUUUUGGAUUCUUCCAAUUGGUCCAUCUUUUAGAUGAGUACUGGUUGUGUGGGGUCUAUCCGCCUGGUAAUACGUAAUGUCCUUUAUUGGAUGUUGCGGGUAGUCAGGACCUUUACCUUGAAAAAAUUAGAGUGUUUAAAGCAGGCUUAUGCCGGAAUACAUUAGCAUGGAAUAAUAGAAUAGGACGAAGUUGUUUUAUUUUGUUGGUUUCUAGGACAACCGUAAUGAUUAAUAGGGAUAGUUGGGGGCAUUAGUAUUCAAUUGUCAGAGGUGAAAUUCUUGGAUUUAUUGAAGACUAACUACUGCGAAAGCAUUUGCCAAGGAUGUUUUCAUUAAUCAAGAACGAAAGUUAAGGGGGAUCGAAGACGAUCAGAUACCGUCGUAGUCUUAACCAAUAAACUAUGCCGACUAGGGAUCGGGCGAUGUUGUUUCCAUUGACUCGCUCGGCACCUUAUGG